UGGGGAAUAUUGCACAAUGGGCGCAAGCCUGAUGCAGCCAUGCCGCGUGUGUGAAGAAGGCCUUCGGGUUGUAAAGCACUUUCAGCGGGGAGGAAGGCGAUAAGGUUAAUAACCUUGUCGAUUGACGUUACCCGCAGAAGAAGCACCGGCUAACUCCGUGCCAGCAGCCGCGGUAAUACGGAGGGUGCAAGCGUUAAUCGGAAUUACUGGGCGUAAAGCGCACGCAGGCGGGCUGUCAAGUCGGAUGUGAAAUCCCCGGGCUUAACCUGGGAACUGCAUUCUAAACUGGCAGGCUAGAGUCUUGUAGAGGGGGGUAGAAAUCCAGGUGUAGCGGUGAAAUGCGUAGAGAUCUGGAGGAAUACCGGUGGCGAAGGCGGCCCCCUGGACGAAGACUGACGCUCAGGUGCGAAAGCGUGGGGAGCAAACAGG
rnacentral:rRNA from 1 species